GGUCUGAUGCCACGUCUCUGGUAGCUAUAUAUUAGCUCUGACCAUAGAUGCUAUGAUUGGACCAAAAUCAAGAGUGAAUUUCAUUUGUUUCGCAUUCUGAUAGGAAUCUGCCAAUCCUAUAUACUAUGAUUAUGCAGAGCUGAUUUGUGCGAUUACAUUU
rfam:Medicago truncatula strain A17 chromosome 3, whole genome shotgun sequence.